GGCCUCUGGCAUUCGUGCGGCAGUGAGGGAGGAUUUGCCAAUAAUCCAUAGUGCCAUAAAGGAAGAUGUUGCUGUGGUUCCUUCACUGUGUCAUGAAGUGCCUGGAGGUCCUCCUUGAUUGCAGCACGCAUAACCGCAACAUUCACUGCUCUAGCCAUGGCAACCACAUCCUCCUUCAAUGCACCAUGGAUCGCUUGCAAAUCCUCCCUCACUGCUGCACGAAUGGAUCCCAUUC
rnacentral:pre_miRNA from 1 species